rnacentral:rRNA from 1 species
AGGAAUAUUGGUCAAUGGGCGCGAGCCUGAACCAGCCAAGUAGCGUGAAGGAUGAAGGUCCUAUGGAUUGUAAACUUCUUUUAUAGCAGAAUAAAGUGACCCACGUGUGGGUUUUUGUAUGUAUGCUAUGAAUAAGGAUCGGCUAACUCCGUGCCAGCAGCCGCGGUAAUACGGAGGAUCCGAGCGUUAUCCGGAUUUAUUGGGUUUAAAGGGUGCGUAGGCGGAAAGAUAAGUCAGCCUGUGAAAGUUUGCGGCUCAACCGUAAAAUUGCAGUUGAUACUGUUUUUCUUGAGUGUACAUAAGGUAGGCGGAAUUCGUGGUGUAGCGGUGAAAUGCUUAGAUAUCACACAGAAUAUCGAUUGCGAAGGCAGCUCACAAAGCCAUUAUUGACGCUGAGGCACGAAAGUGUGGGGAUCAAACA